GUUGCAUUCUUCCGUCGCCUUCUUCCGUUGCCUUCUUCCAAGACAGUCCGCCAUUGAUUUAGAUUAGGGUUAUUGAGUCCUUCAUUCAAAAGAAGAAUCAAUUGUAGCCACGCCAUGACUCCUCUCUAAGAAUGCUCCGACUCUCUGAGUCUCCCUCAGCCUCGCCGUCCACAACCGUUAGGACCGCCAAACGCUACCCUCCAGCCUCGCCAUCCACCGCCGACCGUCAGCCUCCGACCUCCAAAUAUGAAGAGAAGUUGAUGGAUGCUUACAGAGAAAUGCUGACCUACAUUGCUUCUGGGAAAAAGGACUACUGGAAGAGAAGUUGAUCCUGUCACUAUUGCUCCUAUAUGUGCUCAUUUUUCUCCACCAAUGGCAUGUGUUCAGCUUUAGGAGCAACCACAAAUGUUCAAGACAUAGCGAGAAUGGAGAAAAAUUUACCAGUGAACAACAGUACCUCUCUAUGCCAUGCUUCCUGCAUCUGCUCAGCUUCGUGUAUUUGAAGAAUUGUGUUUUGAACUAUCUAAGAUGAGGAACCAACUUCUUUGAAUACUGUUGAAUACUAUUAAAUGUUAUUAUUUGACAAAUAAUAUUAGUUACAAUUAAUUUUCUUUUUAA